AGCGAACGUUUGCGGCGGGCUUAACACAUGCAAGUCGAACGGGCUGUUCCUUCGGGGGCAGUCAGUGGCGCACGGGUGCGUAACACGUAGGUAAUCAACCCUCUGGUUGGGGAUAACACUUCGAAAGGAGUGCUAAUACCCGGUAUGGCGCAGCGGUCUUCGGAUCGCGGCGAGAAAGACCCGCAAGGGUUGCCAGAGGACGAGCCUGCGGCCCAUCAGCUAGUUGGCGAGGUAACGGCUCACCAAGGCGAAGACGGGUAGCUGGUCUGAGAGGAUGAUCAGCCACACUGGAACUGAGACACGGUCCAGACUCCUACGGGAGGCAGCAGUGGGGAAUAUUGCGCAAUGGGCGAAAGCCUGACGCAGCCACGCCGCGUGAGCGAUGAAGGCCUUAGGGUUGUAAAGCUCUUUCAGGGGGGAAGAUAAUGACUGUACCCCCAGAAGAAGCCCCGGCUAACUCCGUG
rnacentral:rRNA from 1 species